rnacentral:rRNA from 1 species
ACUGAACGCUGGCGGCAUGCUUUACACAUGCAAGUCGAACGGUAACAGGCCGCAAGGUGCUGACGAGUGGCGAACGGGUGAGUAAUGCAUCGGAACGUGCCCAGUCGUGGGGGAUAACGCAGCGAAAGCUGCGCUAGUACCGCAUACGAUCUAUGGAUGAAAGCGGGGGACCGUAAGGCCUCGCGCGAUUGGAGCGGCCGAUGUCAGAUUAGGUAGUUGGUGGGGUAAAGGCCCACCAAGCCAACGAUCUGUAGCUGGUCUGAGAGGACGACCAGCCACACUGGGACUGAGACACGGCCCAGACUCCUACGGGAGGCAGCAGUGGGGAAUUUUGGACAAUGGGCGCAAGCCUGAUCCAGCAAUGCCGCGUGCAGGAAGAAGGCCUUCGGGUUGUAAACUGCUUUUGUACGGAACGAAACGGUUCUCUCUAAUACAGGGGGCUAAUGACGGUACCGUAAGAAUAAGCACCGGCUAACUACGUGCCAGCCGCCGCAGUAAAAC